rnacentral:lncRNA from 1 species
CCUCGCUCCUGUCCUCCGGAGCGGGCUGUGCGGAGGCAGCCGGGAGAACAGUCGGCUCCGAGGACAAGAGUGAUGGGAGCGCCCCGGCCCCGCGGAAUCCAUCAUUCCGGAGGGAACCUUCGGCAGGCUUCAUUAGGCUCGAAACGAUCAUGAAUAUCCUCCCCUCACCUGUUCUCAUUAAUAAUGGCUCCCCUCUUAUCUUUUUUUUGCCACACGUAUCAUUCUUUUAAGAAACAUACACAACCCAGGGAGAAAGCCCGGCGCCUGCCCGGGAGCCC